UGGAUAGUUUUAGAGAACAACUGAACCGAGCAUGACCAUACGAGAGAUCUCUUAGAUUUUUACUCGAUCGUCAGUGAUCGUCUCGAUACUGUAGUUGUGUGACUGGUCCUUUGACUUGAGAUGGCACUAUUGCUCGUAGUGAGGUUGCUGAAGUUUGAUUGACAUAUAAACAUGGAUCUUAAUGAGCCCUUGGAUGUGCAUCAAAAUGAGAUUUAUUGAUCUUGAUAGAAAGGAGUAGUCCUAUG
rnacentral:lncRNA from 1 species